ACCAAGUGUGGUGGCUUACGCCUGUAAUCCCUGCACUUUGGGAGGCCAAGGUGGGUGGAUUACUUGAGCUCAGGAGUUCGGGACUGCUGUGGCCAACAUGGUAAAACCCCAUCUCUACUAAAAUACAAAAAUUAGCUGGGUGUGGUGGUGCAUACCUGUAAUCCCAGCUACUCGGAAAGCUGAGGCAGGAGAAUCACUUGAACCCAAGAGGCAGAGGUUGUAGUGAGCCGAGAUUGUGCCACUGCACUCCAGCCUGGGUGACAGAGUGAGACUCCAUCUCA
rnacentral:sRNA from 1 species